rnacentral:hammerhead_ribozyme from 1 species
ACCUUGCCGAUGAGUGCUAAAUAGCACGAAACCUGGGUCCAGGGU